rnacentral:rRNA from 1 species
AUGAUGGAUGGCCAACCUAUGGUGAGCUACUCUACAGGAGCAAUAAACUCCCUUCUCGAUAAGCUCACCAAAGUGAAGAAGCAUCCCGAUAAAAUUCUAGAUUUACGGAGAGCCCUGGUGGCUCUUGAAUCGGAUUUUUUCGGCAAGCUUGCGAGGCGACGGGAGAUGAACUCGCAAGUCGAAGCGUGGGUGAAGCAUGUGAGCGAACUGGUCUUCGACAUGGAAGACUGGAUCGAACAGAAGGGACAUGAACAAUUGGAGAUUGAGGAGGAAAUGGAAAAUUUCCAGGCCCAGAUCAAGCACGCUCGUGAGCUCUGUGAAAGGUACAAUCUUGUUACUGAAGUUCGCACUGACUUCCAUGGUCCUGCUGUUGUACCAGGCCAAGUGACAAAAACUGAUUCGCGGCCACUUGUGGAGGACAAAUCUGGUAUCAUCGUCGAUGUCCCAAAUCCAAGAGAUGGGCUUCUCAAGCUUCUGAGAAGCGAGCAUGAGAAGAGGCUAAAGACUGUUUUCAUCGUCGGAAUGGAAGGCCUUGGCAAGACCACUCUUGCCAAGGAGAUAUAUGAAGAGCUUCAAGGGGAGUUCGAUUGCCGAGCUUUCGUUACUCUUGGCAGGAGGCCAUCCAUGAGGGGGACUCUAAUGGACAUACUUCGUCAAGUGAAGUCCUCGCAGAAGAAGAAUAAGGUAAAGCCGAAGACUAAUCCUAGGUAUGGCGGCGAAAAAUCUGACCAGGAUCUGGAAAACCUCGUCAGUAAGCUUUGGGACUACCUCGGCACCAAGAGGUAUUUCAUCUUAGUGGAUGGCGUAUGGAGCACACAGGCUUGGGGAAUCAUCAAUUGUGCUUUACCCAACAAAAACCAUGGAAGCAGGGUAUUAACAACAACUUGCAUUAGCGAUGUUGGCAAGUUUUGUUCUGUACGUCCCACUGAUGUCUAUUGGAUGGAGACACUAAGUGAUAAAAAGUCUGAAGUCGUAUAUGAGCAAGAAACAAAACGAGUUAAAGAAUGGCCAGCUGAAGUUGCCACAAAUAUGUUAAAUAUGUGUGGUGGCAUGCCAUUGGCUAUAAUUAUUGCAGCCGGCAUAUUAAGUACGAAAGAUGAAGAACUCCCGGAGCUCAACAUGUCUGUUGUUUCAUCACUAGAGCAAUAUUCCACGUCAAAAGGGAUGGCAAAGAUACUCCAGAUAAGUUAUGCUGCUCUAUCCAUGCCUUUGAAGUCGUGCUUGCUUUAUUUGAGUAUUUUUCGUGAAGAUUAUACCAUCAAGAAAGAUCGUCUGAUACACUUAUGGAUAGCGGAAGGACUUAUUCCUAUAAAAGAUAAAGAAAUAAAAUGUCAAGAAAUAAGAGAUGAAGAAACAAGAUGUGAAGAAGUGAUAGUUGACGGAGGAGAAAAAACAAGAGAAAAAAGGGGUGAAGAAAAGAGACGGGAAGAAACAAGUGGUGAAGAAAAAGGAGGUGAAGACACAGUUGAAGGAGGAAAAGGAGCAGGAGUUAAAGAAAAAAGAGGUGAAGAAAUAAUAUGUGAAGAGAAAAGCAGUGAGGAGAAAGGAGCUGAAGAAACAAGUGGCGGAAAAAUAAGAUGUGAAGAAGCAAUCAGUGAAGAAAAAGAUGGUAAAGGUGACGAAGAAAGCUUGUGGGAGACAGGGGAGAAGUACUUCAACGAGCUUAUCACGAGGAGACUCAUUCAGCCAGUGUUCGGCUACGAUGAUGACCAGGCAGUGGGUUGUACCGUUCACAGUGUGAUCCUUGAUUUCAUCAAGUCACUGUCGUGCAAUGGCAACUUUGUUACAUUCGGUGCAGAUCUCAAGUCCGGGCUGUUUCCAGGUAGCAAACAUACGGUUCGGCGAUUCUCGCUCGACUGCUAUGACGACCAAGACGAAGAUGGCACCUUGGCCUCGAUCGCAGUUCACCUAUCUAGAGUGCGAUCGGUCACUGUUUUGGGAGAUAUUCAAGGGAUUGCUGGCUUUUCGGCCCUCACAGUGUCUGGGGAAAUUCAAGGGACGUCAGUCCUUCCGUCUUUCAAACUUAUACGAGUACUGGAUCUGGAAGAUACUGCUCAUCUGAGAAAGCAUCAUCUUGAAGGCAUUGGCGGAUUGGUUCUCUUGAGAUACCUGGGACUUGCAGGGACUGACGUCGAUGAGUUACCAGAAGAAAUUGGGGAACUAGAGCAGUUGGAUACCCUAAAUUUGAGGCGGACAACAAAUCUGAACACUUUGCCUGCGUGUAUAGCUGAACAGAUAAGGUUGGCACAUCUGCUAAUUGAAGCUACUGUCAAACUGCCCAGCAAGAUCCUGGAAAUGCAGGGACUAGAAGAAGUAUCGACAAUAGGUGUCGGCAAUAGCAGCUCAAUCGGCUCAGUCGUACAGCUCCUGAAGAAGUCAGAGCGGCUGAGGGUUCUCGGCUUAAGAUUUGAUCGGUCACACCUAUCUGAUGAUGAGAACGCAAGAGCCCUAUUUGAGCAGGUUGCAAACUGUACUAAGCUUCGUUCCCUGUCUCUUGAUUGCCUUGAUAAUAAGUUGCUUGACUUACUGCUCCGGUUCCCUCCAUCUGAUGAGCUCCGAAGAUUUGAGCUGAAAGUCUCUGCUCCACUUCGCAGAGGACUGGCCCCUCUUGUCAGCGUUACCCACAUGGAUAUUGAGAUUGUUCGGUUAAACAACGAAGGUGUCCGUGUCCUGGGAGGCUUGCCUAAGCUAGUACUUCUCAAGUUAGUAUCUUCAGGUAUCAUCGAAUCUAAACUUAAAUUAAAACGUAUCAUCGAACCACAGUUAUUGAAGAAGAUCGUCCGUGUGACCAUGAGACUAGGAAAAAGGAUUCCAUUGACGAAGAAGAAGGGUAUAAACAGUAGGUGCACCGUCAGUGGGGAUGAUGGCUUUAAUUGUCUUAAGGUGUUCUCGUUCAAUUGCCUAUCUGGGGGGACGGAGCUGCGCUUCACAUCAGGAGCCAUGAAGAAGCUUGAAAGGCUAUCCCUCCAAUUCUCUGCACUGCAAACAAAGCCUCGGUAUGGAAACUUCAGUUUUGGCAUUCCGUGUCUCUCUUCUCUCACACAUGUCCAUGCCACGGUUAACUGCAAAUCUGCUAAAGCUAAGGUGGUGAGGGAUGCGGAGAAGGCAAUCAGAGAUCAAGUAGCUAUGUUGUCCUCGGUACAAACAGCAGUAUUCAGCACAAACAAUACUUCUUCCGGGACAAAGCAAACAAGGCAACUACUUCCCUAG